rnacentral:lncRNA from 1 species
GCGGGGGAUGUGUUUGGCAUGGGGACGCACUGUUACAGUUGCGCUCCUGGUUGGCUUUGUGUUUCCGCGGUGUUGGUAGAGUCUCGGUGUUUCUACCUCUUAGCACCCUUUCCUGCCACCCUUUGUCCUGUGGAAGCCCGGAGACAUCAGCGGCUGCAAUUUUGCUACUCGCUGCUCGGCAUGGAACGGUCAGAGGACAAAAAAUAAUAUCCAAAGAUAUUUUGGCACUAACAGCGCUAUCUGUAGCAAGAAAGUUGAGCAGUGUGAACUGUUGAGACUUCCAAGAAGACUUCAGAGAACCAAGACAGUGUAAAGGAAAACAGGAAAAAAGACUUGUUAGACAUUAUUAAGGGCACGAAAGUUGAAUUGAGCACAGUAAAUGUACAAACAACAAAGCCACCCAACAGAAGUCCACUUAAAAGCUACAACUGGCCCGCCUCAAAGAGCUACAGAGCAUGCUCCAAAGAAGAGAAAUGAGCCCGUGAGUCCUGAGUUGGUGGCAGCUGCAUCUGCUGCUCUGUUUUGACAAGCAAACAAGCCAGAACUGCUCAGAGAGCGAACCAUGUGCUGGAUUUAGCCAGUCCUGCAUUUUUCUAUACUUCAAAUCAAAACGGGCCAUGCUUCACAUCUACCCAUGAUGAAUAGGGGUACUUUGAUUAAGAAUAAAUAGAGCUGACUGAAUUCUGAACAAGAAAAACAUAUUCAAGGGGAAGAGAUGUAAUAGUUUUGACGUGACGACAGUUACUAAAGAAGCACCUGAACAGACACAUCACCUUCACUUUGGGAUGUGGAAUUUGCUAAAUAAGCCACAGAAAAUGAACAUCCCUUCAGAAUGGGUUUGAAGAGCUGAUCCAGUGGAUUAAAGAGGGGAAACUGGGAGUUUCCAAUUAACAAUGAAGCAGAGGAGCUGACUAAGGCUUUGGAACAGAAACCAGAUGAUGCACAAUAUUAUUGUCAAAGAGCUUAUUGUCACAUUCUUCUUGGGAGUUACUAUGUAACUGACGAAAAACCCAUCUGUUUCUACGUAGUUGCUGUUGCCGACACAAAGAAGUCUUAUGAACUCAAUCCAAAUAAUUCCACUGCUAUGCUGAGAAAAGGAGGGGCUGGCGGCAUGGAGUCUUGCUCUGUCACCCAUCCUCGAGUGCAAUGGCACCAUCUUAGUUCACUGCAGCCUUGAAUUCCAGGGCUCGAGCCAUCCUUCUGCCUCUGCCUCCUGAGUAGGUGGGACUACAGGCAUGUGCCACCAUACUGAGCUAAUUUGUUAAACACUUUUUUUGUAGAGACGAGGUCUUGCUACGUUUCCCAGACUGGUCUCUGAACUCCCGGCCUCAAGUGAUCCUACUGCCUUGGCCUCCCAAAGUACUGGCAUAAUAGACAUGAGCCACUGCACCUGGCUCCUAAGUUCUUUUCUUGAA